rnacentral:rRNA from 1 species
GAUGAACGCUGACAGAAUGCUUAACACAUGCAAGUCAACUUGAACUUCGGUUUGGGUGGCGGACGGGUGAGUAACGCGUAAAGAACUUGCCUCACAGCUAGGGACAACAUUUGGAAACGAAUGCUAAUACCUGAUAUUAUGAUUAUAUGGCAUCGUAUAAUUAUGAAAGCUAUAUGCGCUGUGAGAGAGCUUUGCGUCCCAUUAGCUAGUUGGAGAGGUAACAGCUCACCAAGGCGAUGAUGGGUAGCCGGCCUGAGAGGGUGAUCGGCCACAAGGGGACUGAGACACGGCCCUUACUCCUACGGGAGGCAGCAGUGGGGAAUAUUGGACUAUGGACCGAGAGUCUGAUCCAGCAAUUCUGUGUGCACGAUGAAGUUUUUCGGAAUGUAAAGUGCUUUCAGUUGGGAAGAAAAAAAUGACGGUACCAACAGAAGAAGUGACGGCUAAAUACGUG